CCUACGGGAGGCAGCAGUCGAGAAUCAUUCACAAUGGGGGAAACCCUGAUGGGGCGACGCCGCGUGGGGGAAUGAAGGUCUGCGGAUUGUAAACCCCUGUCAUGUGGGAGCAAAUUAAAAAGAUAGUACCACAAGAGGAAGAGACGGCUAACUCUGUGCCAGCAGCCGCGGUAAUACAGAGGUCUCAAGCGUUGAUCGGAACCACUGGGCGUAAAGCGUGCGGAGGCGGUUUCGUAAGUCGGGUGUGAAAGGCGCGGGCUCAACCCGCGGACGGCCCAUGAUACUGCGAGACUAGAGUAAUGGAGGGGGAACCGGAAUUCUCGGUGUAGCCGU
rnacentral:rRNA from 1 species